UAGAGUGAAGCUCGCUGGAUUGAGUAUUUAGCUGUUAACUAAGUUAUUGCGGGAUCGAGGCCUGCCAUUCUAG
rnacentral:tRNA from 1 species